rnacentral:pre_miRNA from 1 species
UAUGUACUCCCUCCGUCCAACAAAAGAUGUCUUAAGUUGUCAAAAUUUAGAUGUAUUUAGAUAUGACUUAGUGUAUAGAUGCAUUCAAAUUUAAUCAAAGUUAAGACAUUCUUUGAUGGAUGGAAUGAGUACUGU